GACGAACGCUGGCGGCGGGCCUAACACAUGCAAGUCGAGCGAGCGGCGGACGGGUGAGUAAUGUCUGGGAAACUGCCUGAUGGAGGGGGAUAACUACUGGAAACGGUAGCUAAUCCCGCAUAACAUCCGAUUUGCCCAGAUGGCAUUAGCUAGUAGGUGGGGUAACGGCUCACCUAGGCGACGAUCCCUAGCUGGUCUGAGAGGAUGACCAGCCACACUGGAACUGAGAAACGGUCCAGACUCCUACGGGAGGCAGCAGUGGGGAAUCUUGCACAAUGGGCGAAAGCCUGAUGCAGCCAUGCCGCGUGAGUGAAGAAGGCCUUCGGGUUGUAAAGCACUUUCAGCGGGGAGGCGUUACCCGCAGAAGAAGCACCGGCUAACUCCGUGCCAGCAGCCGCGGUAAUUC
rnacentral:rRNA from 1 species